rnacentral:rRNA from 1 species
GUGAACGCUGGCGGUAGGCCUAACACCUGCCAGUCGCACGGCAGCACAGUAAGAGCUUGCUCUUACGGGUGGCGAGUGGCGGACGGGUGAGGAAUACAUCGGAAUCUACUUUUUCGUGGGGGAUAACGUAGGGAAACUUACGCUAAUACCGCAUACGACCUACGGGUGAAAGCAGGGGAUCUUCGGACCUUGCGCGAUUGAAUGAGCCGAUGUCGGAUUAGCUAGUUGGCGGGGUAAAGGCCCACCAAGGCGACGAUCCGUAGCUGGUCUGAGAGGAUGAUCAGCCACACUGGAACUGAGACGCGGUCCAGACUCCUACGGGAGGCAGCAGUGGGGAAUAUUGGACAAUGGGCGCAAGCCUGAUCCAGCCAUACCGCGUGGGUGAAGAAGGCCUUCGGGUUGUAAAGCCCUUUUGUUGGGAAAGAAAAGCAGCAGGUUAAUACCCCGCUGUUCUGACGGUACCCAAAGAAUAAGCACCGGCUAACUUCGUG